rnacentral:lncRNA from 1 species
CGGUCCGGACGCUCAUGUCGUGUGAGUCCUUCUGCGCUCGGCAGGACACGCUGCGCCGGGGCCACCUGACACGCCGGGCCGGCGGUACUCGCGUGGGCGGCGCUGAGCUGAUGAGCCGAGCGCGCUCCGGGUGCGGGCUGCUGUCUUGGUCCCCGCCCGCCGGGGUGGCCUUUAAUCCGGCGGCCCCGGGGCGGGGCUUUCCCGCCCCCGCCGCGCACACGCGAGCGCAGACACCAUCGCACGCUCUUGGCACGCCCGCCCGGCCUGCGCACGCCCACCCCGGGCCUGACCCACACCCCUGACCUCACCUCCCACCCUCGCGCGCCGAGGCUUUUUGUUCCCCUCCCCCACCGGCCGGCCUGCUCCCGCCAGCUCGCUCCUGGAGCCGGGGCUGCAGGGCGCAGGCCGGGAGGUCCGAGGCCGCGCGCCGAUCGAAGAGCCCCGGGACGCGAGCACCGGCCGGAGUGACCGCCUUUCUUAGAAGCGGAGCGCAGCGCCGGGGCUGGGGGUGGUGGCGAGCCGGGCGUCCCUGCAGCUCUGCUGCCUGGUGGUGGGCUCCUGGUGCCUCGGGCGCCCCUCGGUGGCAUUCGCUCAGCUCUCGAGUUUCCUCGGGCAUCUGUGGGCACACUGGCUUCCAGCUGCUCCUUAUUCAUAAGCGCAGGACAUAGGGCUGUGCAGACCCCAUUGGGGGCCCGAGGGUCCAAAGGCGCCAGGCCACAAGCCCCCUGUUGUGUCUUCAACCCUGAACCUGCAUUUCCUAACAGGAUGGAACAACUUGUCAAAGAGCAGGGCCUGGAUGGAGAAGAACCCAAGUCCUUCUGCCCUGGCCCACCCUGGUUCACCUCUGCUCUUUCUGUGAGGGACCCUCCACCCCUGCCCUCAGAGCCCAGCCUGCCUGCCCAGACCUCCAGUGUGAAUGGGAAUGCACUUCCUCCCGGAAAGCUUGGCCUCAGAUGGACGCCCAGGCCCACUGUGCAGCCUCAGCCCAGCUGCUCGGUCUUCCAGCUGGCCCGCCCCAGACCUGGCAGGCAGCCUGACUUCUCCUUCAGCAACCCGCAUCUCCCAGGGCACCUCUCUGCCCUACCUUCAAAGUACAGACGGGACCCGCCACUGCGCCUCCAGGCACCGCCUGCCCGUUGUAAAGGCCCUGCUGCACCCCUUCACCUGCCCUUCUGUUGGACCCUCCAGUUCGCAGCGAAGGUGCAAGUCUGCCCAGGAUUCAGGCCCCUCCCUGACUUCCUCCGAGCCUCCCUUCUUGGGACUCCCCCCUCACGCCCGCUUGGCUCCCUAAAGUCUUUGCUCCAACGUCACCCUUUCCUUGUUGCAUAG